GAGGGAGGCUGCGGACCAGUGCGGGGAGGAGUUUACGAGGGGAGGCGCUUGCAGGGGCUCCCCCAGUUCUGUUGAGAGCCGGGCACAAAGAGCCCUCUGCACUCCAGCCGCAGGAGCGAGGAGCCGAGAGCUAGGUGCACAUGGGCGUGGGGACCCAGUACACACCAACCCACAGGUUAGCAGACCUGGGGCGUCCAGUGCAGCUUCAAACCGAAUGCAUCUCCGCACCCUCAUUGCGACAUCGCUCUCGAUGGUGACUGCACAUCCUCGGGGAGGCACCGCUUUGGCACCACAGCCCCGCCAGGUGGGUCCCACUCUGCUGACCAGGAUGGCCUGGAGCUCACAGAGGUCCAUCUGCUUCUGCCUCCCAAGAGCUGGGAUUAAAGGCCUGGGCCUGCACCUCCAUACCUGGCUGUGAGGCCUGUCUGUUCACAUGCACAUGGCUGCCGGGUCUCGGUGGCACCUGGGGACGAAGCAAGUUUUCAUCUGCGUGGAUGCGGGUGGCAGAGGCCAACAGCUUCAUCCACUUGGCUCUGUCUUGAUGCUCACGGGGACUGAGCCUUCUGAACCUCAAGAGUUCCUGCUGGUUCCCAGGUCUCAGAAGAGAGUAGGGGAUUGGGAAGGGCCACAGCCACCCUGCGAAGCAGCCUUGCAGAUAAGUAUCCCUUCACCAGCCCCCUCUGCACCAGCCUGCUUUCUGCUGGUGCACCUGUGAAGGGGGGUUGGCUCUGGAACCCCCAAGAGGGAGGGUGGAUGUCUGGCUCUUGAGGGUGGCAUUUGUAAACUUGGACAGACUCCUUGGUCUUGCAGACACACGGAGACCUUCUGCAGGGUUUCCCACGGGACACACUGUCUCCACUCAGCUCCAGGCUCCUGUGACAGCCGGCUCUAAGAGCGUCCUCCCCUUCCCUGACUCAGGCUCUGGGGGACAGAUGUAGUAUAAUUGACAGGAAAGAGCAAAUCUGAGUGCUGGCUUGAGAUUCGGGGCAUCUCCUCCAUCCUGGUGACUUACAGUGCCCUGGCUGAGCCCUGUACCUCCCGCCCUCUGGCUCCAGACAUGUUCUCUGCUGUGGGAGUCACGAAAGGGUGGGGACUAAGAUGAUUAGAAGAGCUGCUUUCUUUUCCAAGCCACUGCCUUGAGUGGCCCUUGUGUGACAGGGCAGGAUGUGUCCCUGGGUCCAGACAGAGGCAUAGGCUUCCAGUGACCUCAGUAGUACUGAGGUCAGAGCUCCAGACCCCUACUCUGUCAGGACUCCCCUCUCGGCUGUCCCUAAGCUGCCCAGCUUGCUCUGAGUUUUCCUGGGUCACCAAGGAAACCACCAUGUGCCCAUGUUUGUGAAGGAUGCUCUGGGUAGCAGGGAAGGAGGAGGAGGCAGGGUGGCUCUUGGGCCAAAGCAGGGCUUGGGUGUGGUCCUCUCCUGUGCCGGGGUUGGCUCUUCUGUCUUCCAGAGUCAUCCUGUGAUGUCUGUGUGUGGGAGGAGCUAGGAGCUAGGCCUGCGAUGAUGUCAGGAGAUGCUGGGUGUCCAGAGGUGAAUGACAGAGACAUGGUGCUACCCUCUGAGGUCUUCAAGUAAGAAAACGCAUCACCACAGCUCAGCGAGUGGAUAGUUCUGCGUGUCUCCAGACCUUGGUCUGCUUUGGAGCCCUGGGGAUCCCCUGGAUUCUGACCUCAUGGAACUGGGGAACAACCUGUCUCCCUGAAGAUCCUGUCCUUGCCAGUGCCAGAGAUGGAGCCCCCUGGAGAAGAGCCACACCUUGAAGAUAGAUAACACUGCUUAGCAUCCAUCCACCCUGUUUUUGAUGGACAGAUGCAGGGUGGCAGAGGCUGCAGUGUAGAGUCCUGGGGCAUUGGAGGCCUCUCCUGAUCCCAUGUGGACUGGAAUCCUCCUCCAGUGUCUGGAGGUGGGGUGGAGCCCCACCUGAGCCCCUUCCUAAGGACCUGUGGGUAGGGCAGGGACUCCAUGGGCAUGGAGGAGGAGGAGGAGCUGGGGAGGAGCC